GAUGAACGCUGGCGGCGUGCCUAAUACAUGCAAGUCGAGCGAACAGACGAGGAGCUUGCUCCUCUGACGUUAGCGGCGGACGGGUGAGUAACACGUGUAUCACCUCCCUAUAAGACUGGGAUAACUUCGGAAAACCGGAGCUAAUACCGUAUAAUAUAUUGCACCGCAUGGUUCAAUGGUAAAAUACGGUUUUUCUGGACCUAAUAGAUGCAUCACCGCCGCAUUAGGUGGUUGGUAAGGUAACGGCUUACCACGGCAACGAUGCGUAGCCGACCGCAGAGGGUGGUCGGCCACACUGGAACUGAGACACGGUCCAGACUCCUACGGGAGGCAGCAGUAGGGAAUCUUCCGCAAUGGGCGAAAGCCUGACGGAGCAACGCCGCGUGAGUGAUGAAGGUCUUCGGAUCGUAAAACUCUGUUAUUAGGGAAGAACAAAUGUGUAAGUAACUAUGCACGUCUUGACGGUACCUAAUCAGAAAGCCACGGCUAACUACGUG
rnacentral:rRNA from 1 species